GCUUAUUCUUUGGUUAGAAACUUAUGAUAUUUUUAGCGCAAAAACUUCAAUUGGAGCUUUUUCUUUAUCAUGCAAAGGUAAGCUUCGUGGGAGUUUAACAGAUAUGUGGAGUCUAAGAAUGUGAAACUGGGAUCUCUUCGGGAUGCUUUCCGUGUGAUGCCCUUUAAGUUUGUGAAAUUCAAAAAUGUGAAUUUGGAUUUGCAAUUAUAAAUGGAAAAGCUAUAGGAGAGUUUUUCUGGAAAAAACUAGUAGUUGUUACUUUCUAACUUCUAAGAUAUGUGGGCACUAAAAAUGUUGAAUUGAGAUUCCCUUGAGUGGGUGAAAUGUCAUUAUACCUGUCAUAGAAAGAUUAUUAUUGUUUCUUUUUUGAGGCAGCGUCAUAUGAAGUUAAUUCGAGUUCUAUAAUGGAGGUAGGGUGGAUUCAUCACCCUUAGAUUAUAUUGUGUUAUAUGUCAGGUUUGAGGUUUUACAAAGAAUCAUUUACUUAUGUCAAUAUUUACAAAUAUCAAUUUCACUAUAGAGGACAUUGAUUUGUAAGAGUUCCAUUUUUUUGUUUACACUAGGGAGGACUAUUGUCAUGUUUAAAAACUAGAUCUAUGUUUGAGUUUGGUGAGAUUACAUGCUAAUUAUCUGCUAAAUCGUAUUGUGUUGUCGUGCUAGCUCAGUAUGCCAUCCUAAACAUCUAUUUAUCAGUUAGUUUGCUUAGUUUGUACGUUGGUUAUUUGUUGAAUCUUAUUACUGUAUUGUUAGUUUGGUUUGCCAUACUAACAUUUUUCUUUCUAGAUUGAGGAGUGCAUAUGCUAGUAGUCUGCGUAAGUUUACAAGAAUCACUUCAGACAUCCUCUAAUUGGCAAGUAGUGUUCCUUUAUAAUCGUUACUGAUCCAAUUUGGUCUAUUUUUGCAGUGUCAUUUAUGGCAUUAUUUUCUAGAUUGAUGUAGGUUGGUCUAGUGCCUAUUCAGUGUAAUGGUGAAACCUAAAUUUUGCCUCCGCUUUCAGCCAUAGCAAUCUCUACUAGGACAUUAUCCCCAAAAAAAGGGCUUUUCCUCAUUUACCUUUUGAGUACUAUUCAAAAAUUUCAAAUAUGUCUACAAAUUAUCAAAAUACCCAUCUAUACCCCAAAUUCCAUUAGUAAUUCCUAGCUGUUUGGGGAUAUUUGAACGGAUUUGUGGAAAUCAACAAGGGCAUUUUGGUCAACCAGGGGUAUAUUAGAUAUUUUUGAAGUUUUAGAGGGUAUAUUAGAUAAUAUCCCUUUUCUCUACUUUAAAUUCAUUCGUGUUAAACCCAUUUAAAAUAUUAAAUUUCACACAUACACCUAUUAGGAAAUUAUAUUCAAAAUUCCGUGAACAGAAAUACUAAUCCUAGCCGGAGAAGCUAUUAGGCAAUUUUGUGGAAAAAGCUAGUCCUUAUGACUUCUGAGGAUAUGCGAACAAUAAAAAUGUCGAUUGGGAUACACUUCAUAGGUGAAAUGUCAAUACUGCUGAUCAUAGAAAGAUUGUUAUUGUUAGUCUUUUUUUGUGCAUGCUUCAUACGAAGUUAGUUUGAGUUGUACACUGCAAGGUUGGGUGCUCCUUUGCUGAUUUUGAUGCAGAUGAACAAGUUUUUCAGAUUUGCAAUUGUGGCUGGAGUGUCGUUUGCAUGAAAGAAAUAGAUAAUUGGUAGUGUUGAUCGAGGACAGCUAGUAUUGAACAAAUCACGCAGUAUAAUGGACUCAAGAUUUUUAAGUUACAAAUUAUGAAUUCAAAUUUGAAAUCAAAUCCUAUUGUAAAGUUAUGGAUUUAAAUUUGUAUUGGAGUUUUAAAUUCAACCCGUCAUUAAAUUUUAAUUCAAAGUUCAAAUUUGUGUUCAGAGGAAUUUAAUUUUAUGUUUUUAAUUGUCUAUUUGUUUUCCAAAUUCAGUUUGCCAUCCUACACGUCAAUUUUUUGUUAGUUUGAUGAGUAUAUCGGCCAAUUAUUUGCCUAAUCUUGUAUUGCUCCGUAUAUUUCAGCUUAUCAUCCUAGACAUCUCUUUUUUAGUUAGUUUGAUGACUGUAUAUGCUGGUGAUUCAUUAAAUCUAGCUAUACUGUCGUUCAGUAUGCCAUCCUAGACAUUAUUUUCAAUUAAUAGUGAGUUAGCUUAAUGAAAAUAUGCUCUUCUUAUUUGUUAUAUGCUGUCUCGCUAUUUUUUUUCUCAACUUAGUUUUUUAUAGCAAACCUCUAAUUGUGAUUAAGAUAUACAUGCUAAUUAUGUGGUAAUCUGAUCUUUGUCUUUCUUCUCUUCACCCAUAGUAAAUUUCUAAUUUCAUCAAUGCUAUUAAAAAUCAAAUAUUGCCAGUUUAAUUCAUUUUCAUUAUUAUUUUUAACCUCUCCUGAAUAUUUGAUUAUGUUGAAUUCAUUUAAGAGAACUGUUUUGCAUGUGCAGGGAAACAUACAGCUAAUAUUUUCUAUUAUUUGUUGGUAGUUGAGACUAUUUCUGUGCAUUCGCUAUGGGAAAGCUCGCAGGUGAUCAAUGACUUAGCUAAAGUUUGGCUUGAUGCUUAAGUUUGACUGGGCUUGAAAUCAUGUUUCAAGUUUCGUUUGCAAUACUCAAGUGCAGUUGUAAAGCCCUGUAAAAGCUGGGACUUUGGCUUCUGGUGCUACUAUCACUGAUAUUUCACCUGUUGUGUGAUCUUUGGUCAUCUUUUCGUUGUUCCUCCCGCUAAUCCGCUAUAUCAUGCUAACAGCCUAAUUAGUAUACACCCAUAAAAAAAAAAAUUUACUUCAACGGUGCUUAAUCCUGGGGAUACCCUUUCGAGUUUUCAAAAAGAGGCCCAAAUUUCGUGCUUGGGCUUUUCUUAUUUGACAAAUGGCCCAAAGACCUCUCUCGCGAUCUCUGCCGACUCCUCCCCCCUCGCGCCUCCUCGAUUGCGCCGCCCUCCGUUCGAGUCCCAAGGAGAUGGAGAUAGAUUGGCCACCGAUGGACGGCGGCCCCUUCUGCAGCCGCGCAACUGCGGUCCCGACUACGGCGAGGAUGGUUCGUGAGGGUGCCCAUGGAGCACUUUGGGAAGACGGUCAGGGCGAACCAACGGUGCACGGAGGAGGAGGUCUCAGCUGUCCUCUCCGGCGUGGAGCUGGCCUCAGCCGACGACUCCAUGUCCACGGAGGACGCUGUUACCCACCUCACCUCCUGCCUCCAGGUGCUCGCCGUCGACGUCUAAGGAAGAUCAAGAACCCCCUCGGGCCCCUGCCGGAGCACGGCCGGAUUCAGUUCCAUCAGUUCCAUUGACUCAACAUCAAGAACGACUCCCGACUCGAGGGCCUCAUCAAGAUGUCAGAUCCGGUCACCUCGUGAUCCCUUUUCUCUCCUCUUUCUCCGGAUGUCUACAGCGACAAGAUCAAGCACCUCCUCGAGCCCCCGCCAGAGCACGGCCGGAUCCAGUUCCACCAACUCAACAUCAAGAACGACUACCGACUCAAGGGCCAUCAAGAUGUUGGAUCUGGUAAGCUCCUCGCCUUCUUUCCUCCUUCCUCUUUCUCCGGAUUCAUUCUUAUUUGCUUCCUCACCCAAUUUAAUAUUUUUACAAAAGUCACUUUGUACUUAAAAAUGCAUUUUCAUUCAUCACGUUCAUAUGCUCUUAAAGCAUAAUUUUUCAAUAAUAAAAAUAAAACUUGGCUGAAUACUAGUUUAUAAGUUCAAGCGUGCCAUGCAGCAAUCGUGAUCUAGCGUUGGCUUAAAGAUUAGUUGAGAAAAAGAAAGCACGACCAAAACUAAAUUACAUAUAUCGGGUAUAAUGAUAAUAAUUAAUAAUAAUAAUAUGUAAUAUGUAAUAAGGUAACGAAACAUAAAAAUAUCAUACUUCACACAACAAGUGCAAAAAAUAAAACAAGCAACCAAAAAAUUUUAUCCAUUUGAACUUGCUUUGGACAUUGUCAUGUUUCAUAUUGGGUUUGAAUAUAUCUACCAUAUUAACUGGUAUUCGAUCCACGCAUAUAGGCUUGCAUAACGAAAGGCAAUUUGAUUUUACUUGCCAAAGACGACAAGAUACAAAACUUGACAUGGACAAACUGCGAGGUGUGGAUUUUUAUAGUGCCAAUCAGUAAUGCAAUUAGCCAUUUGUGAAGUGUGAAAAGUUACGUAGAUGACAUGAAUAUUGAGAAGAGUCUUUUAUCGACUCGGGUAUAUACCAUUGUGUAGGCGCUAAGUUGGCAUUUUGAUGAACCUAGUUUUGCUUUGCAUUUGUUUUCUUAGUAGUGCAAUCAAGUAUCAGGGUCCAUUUGGUUUAGUUAUUUGAGUUAGUGUAUGAUUCGAGUCUCAAUUUGAUAAAUUUAUUUAUGAGUUCAUGUGAUUAAGUUGAAUUAUUAAGGGAAUUACAACUGUGCUUAGUAUGUCUUAAUAGUCAAGCUCAUAAUUUCAGUUUAGCGCAUAUUUUAACCAACAUAAUGGUAUUACUUGCUAUUUAGUUGGUGCAUUGUGUUUGGUUAUAUUUGUCAAUUAAAAGACAUGGAAAAAGAGAGGUAUUUGACCCUCUUCAACUGCUUUUAGUUUGCAUUUUGCAGAGUCAUAUGAGUGAUUUAUAUUGCUUAGGAGAAUCUACAUGUAAAAGUGCAAUCAUUUUGGUGGGUAAUGUUGGAUGGAUUUCGAGUACUAUGUUUCUUCAUUUUGCACUCAUUAAAUUUCACAGAAUGGUUUUUUUUUC